CCUACGGGCGGCAGCAGUGGGGAAUAUUGGACAAUGGGCGAAAGCCUGAUCCAGCCAUGCCGCGUGUGUGAAGAAGGCCUUCGGGUUGUAAAGCACUUUCAGUGGGGAAGAAAGCCUUGGGGCUAAUACCCUCGAGGAAGGACAUCACCCACAGAAGAAGCACCGGCUAACUCCGUGCCAGCAGCCGCGGUAAUACGGAGGGUGCGAGCGUUAAUCGGAAUUACUGGGCGUAAAGCGCGCGUAGGCGGUCUGAUAAGCCGGUUGUGAAAGCCCCGGGCUCAACCUGGGAACGGCAUCCCGAACUGUCAGGCUAGAGUGCAGGAGAGGAAGGUAGAAUUCCCAGUGUAGCGGUGAAAUGCGUAGAGAUCGGGAGGAAUACCAGUGGCGAAGGCGGCCUUCUGGACUGACACUGACGCUGAGGUGCGAAAGCGUGGGUAGCAAACAGGAUUAGAUACCCGAGUAGUC
rnacentral:rRNA from 1 species